GUGUGUGUGUGUUUCCCAAACAAAGGCUUGAGAUCUCAAAAACUGGGAUUAAAGAUGUGUGCCACCACUGCCUGGCUCUGUUUCUCUCCUAAACUGAAUCAAUCUCAUGUAUUCCAGGGUGGCUUUGAACUCACAGAGAUCCAGACAGCUCUCU